rnacentral:rRNA from 1 species
GACGUAGGGCGCGAGCGUUGUCCGGAUUUAUUGGGCGUAAAGGGCUCGUAGGCGGUUUGUCGCGUCGGGAGUGAAAUCAUCUGGCUUAACUGGGUGCUUGCUUUCGAUACGGGCAGACUAGAGGUAUGCAGGGGAGAACGGAAUUCCUGGUGUAGCGGUGAAAUGCGCAGAUAUCAGGAGGAACACCGGUGGCGAAGGCGGUUCUCUGGGCAUGACCUGACGCUGAGGAGCGAAAGUGUGGGGAGCGAACAGG